rnacentral:rRNA from 1 species
UACGAAGGGGGCUAGCGUUGUUCGGAAUUACUGGGCGUAAAGCGCGCGCAGGCGGUCUUCCAAGUCAGUGGUGAAAGCCCGGAGCUCAACUCCGGAACUACCAUUGAAACUGUUGGACUUGAGUAUGAGAGAGGUGAGUGGAAUUCCCAGUGUAGAGGUGAAAUUCGUAGAUAUUGGGAAGAACACCGGUGGCGAAAGCGCGCGACUGGACCUGAACUGACACUGAGGGACGAAAGCUAGGGGAGCGAAAGGG